AGGGCACCACCAGGAGUGGAGCCUGCGGCUUAAUUUGACUCAACACGGGGAAACUCACCCGGCCCGGACACCGUAAGGAUUGACAGAUUGAUAGCUUCUUCAUGAUUCGGUGGAUGGUGGUGCAUGGCCGUUCUUAGUUCGUGGAGCGAUUUGUCUGGUUUAUUCCGAUAACGAGCGAGACUCUAGCCUACUAAAUAGUUCGCACAUUGUCUCUGUGUGUGUGACUUCUUAGAGGGAUUUUCGGUGUUCAGCCGCACGAAAUUGAGCAAUAACAGGCCUGUGAUGCCCUUAGAUGUCCGGGGCUGCACGCGCGCUACACUGGCAAAAUCAGCGUGCUUGUCCUUCCCCGAAAGGGGUUGGUAAACCCUUGAAAAUUUGCCGUGAUUGGGAUUGGAAAUUGCAAUUAUUUUCCAUGAACGAGGAAUUCCAAGUAAGUGCGAGUCAUCAGCUCGCGUUGAUUACGUCCCCGCCCUUUGUACACACCCGCCCGUCGCUGCCCGGGACUGAGCCAUUUCGAGA
rnacentral:rRNA from 1 species